rnacentral:rRNA from 1 species
CAAUAGCGUAUAUUUAAGUUGUUGUAGUUAAAAAGCUCGUAGUUGAAACUAAGUCAAAAGAAGAGAGAAACAGGAAGCAAUACACUAUCUUGUGUGUUGUGGAAAGUUGAUUUCUUUGAAAUAAAAUGCGUUGGUCUUUUCCGUCAAAAGAAAUAGAUCAUGUUUACCAUAAAUAAAAUAGAGUGUUUAAGGCAGUACAUUAUGUACAUUGAAUAAUUUAGUAUGGGAUAAUAAAACAGGAAAAUCGGUUGAAUAAAUCGAUUUUAAUGAUUAAUAGGGACAAUUGAGGCAAUCAGUAUUUCUGCACGAGCGGUGAAAUGCGUAGACUGUGGAAAGACUAACUAAUGCGAAAGCAUUUUGCAAAGGUGUUUUCAUUAAUCAAGAACGAAAGUUAAGGGAUCGAAGA